UUGUCCUCUUUUUGAUGGGUCUACCCCCGUCAUCUUGAUCCGUUGUACCUUUGACCUUGGUUGGAGGUAUAAACGGAAACCACGAACAUCGAUAGAUUGUUUUACAUUCUGGACCUCCCCUGAUUGAACGCAGAAAUGAUCUUUGAUAUUUCGAGAUAGUCUAUCUUUUCCAGGCAUAAUUCCGAUUGUUAGCGUAACAAAUUUCUUCCUCGAAAUCAGCGUGAUCCCACGGUUCAAAAUCACGUGUCGUCUUUGGUUCUGAGUAUCGCCGGAUGUAAACCCGAAACAUCAUUCGUGUGGUCCGAUAAUCCUGACCACUCUAGAACGUUCCUUAUCGGCUCCGCAAAGAUGAUCGAAAUUCCUUAUACAUACAUUAUAAUAAACCGAAUUUUCUAUUAACUCAUUAAAUACUGUAAUAUUGUGUUUCCUCCACACCGGUCAGCCCAAGAUGCGAAUUCAAACUUUUAUUUAGCAUUCGUUCAAAUUCAGUAAUCUGUAUUAAUAUUGAAAGACAUGUUUUCUUCUUAUAACGUUAAGAUCGAAACAAUUUUGUAAAAUGUAUUAUAUUUUAAUGAAUAUCAAAGUCCUUAGUAUGGCAGGAAGAGUGAAGGAAUAUACUCGAAUUAGAAAGAGAAAGAUUAAAACAGAGAGAGGAGCGCACAUAUCCCGGCUACACCACCGAUAAGCGAAUCCUGCCUCCUUACGCAUCGACACCGCCGCCUAAUUCGUUAGGCGCGCAAUAACGCAAUGUAAACAAUUUCGGACGAGGCCCGCUCUGGUCUUCUCCGAGAGGUACAGAUUGCGACACUCUUCGACGUACAAUCGCGAGCAGCGUGUCGGCGGGUCCGCGAAGUGGUUCAGAGACGGGUUUUGUUCUUAGUUGUUCAAAGUAGCAAAUAGGGCAAAAGACUCUAUCUUCGUGUAUCCAUUUUAUUUUAUUUUAUCUUGAUUAUUAUUUUACUCAUUUUAUUAAUUUUCCAGUUAAUUUUAUUUCUUAAUAAAUAUAUAUAAUCAGAUAGUUAGUUUAACAGACUUCGCAACAGUUCGGGUGUUCAAAAAUCGUUUUCCGGUGCAACAAGUUCAAGGUGUGUGCGUCCUACUCUCCUUCCUCCAGAAACCAGUCAAAGGAAAUAGCAGCAAUAGAAAUCGGGACUCAUACACGCAGUUUUCCCACAUAAUCCGGACGCACUUUCCAUCGAAACAUCCGCGUUCGCUAUCACAUUGAAAGUAACGAAGAGGAACAGUUGUGCGAAGACCUUAAGGUGUCCGGAAAGCCGGCACUGAACCAGUAUUCAGGGUCGAAAGGUGUGCAUGAAAGGAACACGUACCGUGUGCGCGAAAGGAACGAAGGCCCAGCUUUCACAGGACUGUGCAAGUCUCUGGCAUCGGACGUGAACGUAUCAGACCCACGGAAAAGGCCCAGACCCCGGUCAGGCACCGACUGAACUCGGCUCCGCUCGAAGCCGACCACGGACCCUCCACUCGUCGUGGGAGUAGGUCAUUAGAACGAGGCAUUCGCCCGUAUUCCCGGCACGACUCGCCUCGAUUAUACGGUAAAACACGCCUGCUGCUUGGCUUUCAGUGAAAUCACUUUGACACGCGUCUUCAACUUCCUGAACUGUUCAAGUGUCCGAGCCUGGAGUUGAAAAUGUAGCAAAACUGGUAUAGCCAAAAUGAUUGGGAGGCUGGUCGUCGCAACAGACAGUUAGCUGAUAUACGUAGGCUGUGGAGCCGCCAUGGGUCCUCCUGCGUUCCAACGUCAUUCUUGGUCAUUCUCCUCGGAAACGCAUUAGGGGAAGGCCUGUAUCCCGCGGAAAGCAACGCCUACAGGAAGAACUCCAAUUCGGGAACCUGAGGAAGUUGACAGUGAAGGAUGGGAACACAAGACCAUUUCUUCUGGAGAAACCUGAUUUAAUCGCGAGUGUACAAAGGAAAAAUGAUCAUAGUCACAAAAAGGCAAAUUUGCAAUAUUUGAAAAACAAACUUUGUGACCUUCCUUCAACUAUAUGCAAUUUAAAAUUUAAAAUAUUCUUGUUUUUUACAAUAGGGUUCUGGUAUGCAUUUGUAAAUUUAAAAAAAAAUAACAUUUGUUUUUAAUAGGCCAGACUUUGAUCUAAUAUCAUUUUAAUGAAAAAGGGUGUAGAUGUUUAUCAAUUUUCUUUAGGAUGCAAAGUUUUUUAUUCUUUCUUAAUUUUAUGGUUUUCUUUUCUUAAAUUCUUUUUUUAGUAUAAAAAGACUGAGAAUGAAUGUUAUACACGAUUCAUCCAUUUUUACGCUAUCUUCCAAAGUAGAUUGUGAAACAUUGCAUGAUAGGGAUGUUCUCAUAUUUUCUUCUAAAAUAUGUCUGUAAUCGCACCAACCAAUGCUCGCUCUAGCUUUGUCUUUAUUCAUACCUACUGUGUUUGCAACAUUGGAAAUCUAAUAAUGAGAAUAAAACAAACUAAAUAGAUGAGCAUUUAUUUAUUACGAGCCAAAUUUUAACCAUCUGGUUGUAUUCUAUACCAUAAAGUACCCAAUUUUGCUAUAGUAAAUAAUUUAAACAAUUGAAAGGUGCGAAGGAACAUAUUUUAAAAGAUUGCAAUCAAAAUGACAAAAAAUUGGUGUGUUAUUUAAAAGUUUUUACGUGCGCAUAAGAGAAGGAACUGAAAAAUUAAAUAAAAACAAAAUAAAGAAGUGUCCAUUCAUCAGUAAUGUUAAAAAAUAUUUUAUAAUUUUGUUCAAGUACAUUAUAUGGUGCUAUUCUUUAUUAAAUUGAGAAUUUCUUCCAUUAUUCAUUCAAUUUAUGAAGAUGUUUAAUAUAAAUACAAUAUUAAGCACCAGUCUCGGUAAUUUUCAGGGUGUAAUAACUUUAUCCAGCUAUGGUUAUUCUAGCGACCUAACCUAACAGUUACCUCUGGUGACUGACGUAGGAAACUUAAUUUAGGCGAAUAAUUAAAAGCAUGGGAAAGAGUAGGAAAGGAAUUUUUAAAUAUUAUUCAUAUUGUACUAUAAUAUGAAAUAAUACAUGUUGAGUAAUUUUAUUAUUAUGUAUUACACUAUUGUUUUCACUGCAACAAGCAAACCCUAACCUCUUCUGAAUUAACAUUAUCACACCUAUAUUAACAACUACUUGAAUUUGUAAUAUAUUAAAUAACAAGCACACAGAUACAUUUUUAAUAUCUCCUGGGACAAUCGAAGCUGUCAAUAUAAGUACUUUGAGGUAACAGUACUGCAACAGUACUGUAGAUAACAAGAAAUGUAGGUUAACUAUAAGAUAUUAAAGGCAUUCAAUCGUUCCUUCAAAGUUGGAGUUCUGCCCAAUGUGUGUAAAACUGGGAUCCUAUCGUUUUCCAAUAUCUUCCUAGACAGUUGUAAGAAAAGUUCAAUUCUUCGAACUGUCAGAACAAUGGUUGUAAAAGCAUACUGGUGGACAAAAUAUAAAAUAUCGAAGACAAAACGAUAAUUUUUUUACUGUAAUAUCCACUUUAAAAUUAAUAUAUUAAAAUACAUUUUCAAUUCCUUCUUGAAUAUUCUUUCGGUGGAUAAAAUUUUUAUUAUAGAAAUAAAAACGAUUGCAAAUAAAGUGUGAAAUGUUGAGAAUAUUUAACCAUAUUUUUCAUGAAUUUGGAUUAUAUUUUAAUAUUAUAAGAAAAUUUCUAAUUAUUUCUUAAAUACUUGUAAAAGUACAUCGAUAUCUCGAAUAAGCACUUUCCAAGUAAUUUUCAAAUUAUAGACGAUGACGAAUAUAAAAUGUUCGAGAAAAAUGUUAACUGCCAUGUCAUUCAUAUCUGGGUGACGCUUGAAUUUCCAUAGGAAUCCGUCACCCGUAUGAUCCGCUCAUUUGCCAAUAAAAAGUAGGGUAGCGGAUUUAAAAUUUUAACUUAAUUUGUAUUUAAAUGUUAAAAAAUUAAAAAAAUGGAGUUCAUCAGUUUGGUCUGUGAAUGGUUCAUUUUACGUACUUAGAAAUUCUUUACUAAGAAAAAAUUUUUUAAAUUAAUUUAAUAGCUGUUUUUAUUUACUAAUUAAUUAAAAAUAUUCAUAUUAGGUACUUUCAACAAAUUUCGCGUUGCAAUCUGUGGCGCAACUAAAUAGGAACCAAGGAGAACACUGACCCAUCCAAAAAGUUGAUUAGCCCUUUCUAAAAUUCUAAAAUUCUAAAAUUCUGAAAGUCUAAAAUUCUAGAAUUGCAAAAUGUUGAAUGCUUGAAAUUGUUAAAAGACCCGAUCCACCCCAGACAAACGUCCUAGUUACGCCAAUGGUUGCAAUCAGUGUGCUAAAAGCAUUUGAUUCGCUUCUUUCAAAAAAUAAAAAAGAACUGUAAUAUAACUGUAAACGCUUAUACAAUUACUUUGAUUUCUAAUCACUUCUAAGACUCUUUAAUGAAAAAUUAAUGUUCUGAAGAAGCGUUUCUGGAGCGGACAGAUUCAAACGGUAUAACAGAGUAUGUAAAACGUUGGGUUUUAAUUAAUUUUUUAUUCGACCUAUAUACAUUAAUGAAC